GCCGGGUUGGUGGAAUGGCAGACACGAUGGACUCAAAAUCCAUUGCUCGCAAGGGCGUGUGGGUUCGAAUCCCACACCCGGCACAA
rnacentral:tRNA from 1 species